rnacentral:tRNA from 1 species
GACUCCGUGGCGCAUUGCGCGUCUGACUCCAAAUCAGAAGGUUGCGUGUUCAAAUCACGUCGGGGUCA